rnacentral:lncRNA from 1 species
AUUACACAUAAAAUAAAUAAAAAAAUUAGCGAGCGAGUCAGUCGCCCUUAUGGGCGACUGUCGCUAGCACUCAUCUUAUACUUAAAGGGUUAUUUUUAGGGACCUCCCCUGAGGUUUGGUGUAUUAACACUUAGAUAAAAUGUAUUGAUGUAAUUACAUAUACCUCCCUUAUCGUUAGUAUAAAAAUACGUAUGGCAUCAGUAUAGAAGGGUAAAUGUGUAAAAUCAUAUUUAAAAUUCAAAAUAUGUUUUUACUACUAUUUUGACCGACUUGCCCGUUGUUGACCGAACUUAACCAGUUGGCCAUGACUCCACCGGCAGCCACCAUUUCGUCGCCGUCCAUCCCCUCAACCAACCCCCAUGAAGUCCCAACCUCAAUAACAUCUCAACAGCCACAAAACCCACGAUUUUUUCAUCCCACACUUGCAGCCACAUUCAAACUCAUGAGAUCUCGCUGCCGCCAUCUUGUCAAAGUCCGUUGAUGGUGCUCAAUCGCAAAGCGGGAAUGGAAUCAAUAGCUUGCCUGAACUAGAAUAGCCUGGUUGAGAAGGGGAUACAAAGUCUGGGAUGGUCGUGGACAAGAUUCGAACCCGGGAAGAAAAUAACACGGGUUGGUUUUGGGAAAAUUAUGCUCCUUGUAGGUGCUCUUUCGAAAGCAUAGAGCUGGGCAGCGGAGAAAGAAAGGAAGGGAACAAGGUAGAAAGAAAGACAUGAUGGCGUUGAAGGUGUAUAAGCCAAGCCAAAGGAUGGCGCCAAGGAAGAUGGCAGGCAGCAAAAGCAGUGGUUGAAGACCCAGUUUGGAAGCAGCAGCCGGCCAAACCUAUUACCCAUAAAUUCUCAAAGCCACAUUUAAUAAUUUAUUAUUUUGGUGAGAAGGGUAUUUUAGUAAUUGUGACAGUCCACUAACAGUCAACUUAACGACUAAUUAACGGCAGGGGAGGUUUCUGUAAUUAUAUCAAUACAUUCUAUCUAAGUGUUAAUACACUAAACCUCAGGGGAGGUCCUUAAAAAUAACCCUAUACUUAAAUCACAAGUUGUGACACUAUUAUACAUGUAAGUUAAGCCCGAAAUGAUAGUUUGACUUUUUGAGUGCUACUAGAUCUUGAUUUACUCAUGAUAUUAAUUAUGGACUCGACUAGCUUACAGAAUCUGUAAGGUACAGACUGCAGCAUCAGCCGUUGGAUGUGGAGUGAGAAACUGAACAAUAGAAAAUCGGAUGGUGGGAUGACGGGAGAUGUUUGUUACAGAAUCUGUACCAUAGACAGGUCCAUUAAUUAUUGUUUAUAUGUGUCAAUGGUCAAUGCUUAUACUCUUUUUUUUCUUACCACGAGGUAUUUUGGGGAGGACCCCAACUGUGGGAGACACCUUUAAGUUUGUACCACAACUUAGACUAGAAGUUCUCGCUCGAGAGGCACAUGUUCUCCCAACAAAGGUGACUUCCCUAUGACUUAAAUUGGGAAACAAAUCCAGUCAAACCACUUAAGGAAACUCCAUUAUCAGUGGAGCCAACACUUUAUUGGUCAAUGCUUAUACUCUUUAAUCAAGCAAAUUAACUUGCUUUUGUCCUUUCAUGGCCACUUGGAUUUCAUAAUUGGUAAGUUGGCCCAGACCCCUUUUGUAAGCCAUGCCCAUACUUUAUUAAUCGAGAAAACUUCCAAGUUUCCGACAUUGACCUGUCUUCAUGCAGAAGGUUCUUCUGUUGUCUUUUCCUUCAGAGAUCAAGUUACAGCUGGUUAGGAUUAAUUUUUUAGGCGCUUUCCCUGUUUUUAGCAAGAGAUUUUAUAAUAUAUCUCUUGUAUUAUAAUUAAUUAAUACAU